GACGAACGCUGGCGGCGUGCCUAACACAUGCAAGUCGAGCGGGAUCCAUCUGGUGGCAACACCGGGGAAGAUCUAGCGGCGAACGGGUGAGUAACACGUGAGAAACCUGCCCCGAACUUCGGGAUAACACGGGGAAACCCGUGCUAAUACCGAAUACCCUCUACCGGUCGCAUGGCCGGAAGCGGAAAGAUCCAUCGGUUCGGGAGGGUCUCCCGGCGUAUCAGCUAGUUGGCGGGGUAACGGCCCACCAAGGCAUCGACGGGUAGCUGGGGUGAGAGGACGGUCAGCCACGCGGGGACUGAGAGACGGCCCAGACUCCUACGGAGGGCAGCAGUGGGGAAUCUUGCGAAAUGGGCGAAAGGCUGACGCAGCAACGCCGCGUGCGGGAUGAAGGCCGUCGGGUUGGAAACCGCUUUCAGCAGGGAAGAAAAUGACGGUACCUGCAGAAGAAGCCCCGGCCAACUACGUGCCAGCAGCCGCCGUAA
rnacentral:rRNA from 1 species